rnacentral:rRNA from 1 species
GGGUGACAGCCCCGUACACAAAAGCGCAUGUGCUGUGAGCUCGAUGAGUAGGGCGGGACACGUGGUAUCCUGUCUGAAUAUGGGGGGACCAUCCUCCAAGGCUAAAUACUCCUGACUGACCGAUAGUGAACCAGUACCGUGAGGGAAAGGCGAAAAGAACCCCGGCGAGGGGAGUGAAAAAGAACCUGAAACCGUGUACGUACAAGCAGUGGGAGCACAGGUUUACCUGUGUGACUGCGUACCUUUUGUAUAAUGGGUCAGCGACUUAUAUUCUGUAGCAAGGUUAACCGUAUAGGGGAGCCGGAGGGAAACCGAGUCUUAAUUGGGCGUUAAGUUGCAGGGUAUAGACCCGAAACCCGGUGAUCUAGCCAUGGGCAGGUUGAAGGUUGGGUAACACUAACUGGAGGACCGAACCGACUAAUGUUGAAAAAUUAGCGGAUGACCUGUGGCUGGGGGUGAAAGGCCAAUCAAACCGGGAGAUAGCUGGUUCUCCCCGAAAGCUAUUUAGGUAGCGCCUCGUGAAUUCAUCUCCGGGGGUAGAGCACUGUUUCGGCUAGGGGGCCAUCCCGGCUUACCAACCCGAUGCAAACUGCGAAUACCGGAGAAUGUUAUCACGGGAGACACACGGCGGGUGCUAACGUCCGUCGUGAAGAGGGAAACAACCCAGACCGCCAGCUAAGGUCCCAAAGUCAUGGUUAAGUGGGAAACGAUGUGGGAAGGCCCAGACAGCCAGGAUGUUGGCUUAGAAGCAGCCAUCAUUUAAAGAAAGCGUAAUAGCUCACUGGUCGAGUCGGCCUGCGCGGAAGAUGUAACGGGGCUAAACCAUGCACCGAAGCUGCGGCAGCGAACGUAUCACCCAAGACAACUUUACGGAGUUGACGAUUGACGGAGCGAAGCGACGUCAAAGCGUUCAUUAAAGUCGAGUUGGCUUAGGGAUACGUUCGUUGGGUAGGGGAGCGUUCUGUAAGCCUGUGAAGGUGUGUCGUGAGGCAUGCUGGAGGUAUCAGAAGUGCGAAUGCUGACAUAAGUAACGAUAAAGCGGGUGAAAAGCCCGCUCGCCGGAAGACCAAGGGUUCCUGUCCAACGUUAAUCGGGGCAGGGUGAGUCGACCCCUAAGGCGAGGCCGAAAGGCGUAGUCGAUGGGAAACGGGUUAAUAUUCCCGUACUUGGUGUUACUGCGAAGGGGGGACGGAGAAGGCUAUGUUGGCCGGGCGACGGUUGUCCCGGUUUAAGCGUGUAGGUGUGUGUUCCAGGUAAAUCCGGUUCACUUUAACACUGAGGCGUGACGACGAGGCACUACGGUGCUGAAGCAACAAAUGCCCUGCUUCCAGGAAAAGCCUCUAAGCAUCAGGUAACAUCAAAUCGUACCCCAAACCGACACAGGUGGUCAGGUAGAGAAUACCAAGGCGCUUGAGAGAACUCGGGUGAAGGAACUAGGCAAAAUGGUGCCGUAACUUCGGGAGAAGGCACGCUGACACGUAGGUGAAGUGAUUUACUCAUGGAGCUGAAGUCAGUCGAAGAUACCAGCUGGCUGCAACUGUUUAUUAAAAACACAGCACUGUGCAAACACGAAAGUGGACGUAUACGGUGUGACGCCUGCCCGGUGCCGGAAGGUUAAUUGAUGGGGUCAGCGCAAGCGAAGCUCCUGAUCGAAGCCCCGGUAAACGGCGGCCGUAACUAUAACGGUCCUAAGGUAGCGAAAUUCCUUGUCGGGUAAGUUCCGACCUGCACGAAUGGCGUAAUGAUGGCCAGGCUGUCUCCACCCGAGACUCAGUGAAAUUGAACUCGCUGUGAAGAUGCAGUGUACCCGCGGCAAGACGGAAAGACCCCGUGAACCUUUACUAUAGCUUGACACUGAACAUUGAGCCUUGAUGUGUAGGAUAGGUGGGAGGCUUUGAAGUGUGGACGCCAGUCUGCAUGGAGCCGACCUUGAAAUACCACCCUUUAAUGUUUGAUGUUCUAACGUGGACCCGUAAUCCGGGUUGCGGACAGUGUCUGGUGGGUAGUUUGACUGGGGCGGUCUCCUCCUAAAGAGUAACGGAGGAGCACGAAGGUUGGCUAAUCCUGGUCGGACAUCAGGAGGUUAGUGCAAUGGCAUAAGCCAGCUUGACUGCGAGCGUGACGGCGCGAGCAGGUGCGAAAGCAGGUCAUAGUGAUCCGGUGGUUCUGAAUGGAAGGGCCAUCGCUCAACGGAUAAAAGGUACUCCGGGGAUAACAGGCUGAUACCGCCCAAGAGUUCAUAUCGACGGCGGUGUUUGGCACCUCGAUGUCGGCUCAUCACAUCCUGGGGCUGAAGUAGGUCCCAAGGGUAUGGCUGUUCGCCAUUUAAAGUGGUACGCGAGCUGGGUUUAGAACGUCGUGAGACAGUUCGGUCCCUAUCUGCCGUGGGCGCUGGAGAACUGAGGGGGGCUGCUCCUAGUACGAGAGGACCGGAGUGGACGCAUCACUGGUGUUCGGGUUGUCAUGCCAAUGGCACUGCCCGGUAGCUAAAUGCGGAAGAGAUAAGUGCUGAAAGCAUCUAAGCACGAAACUUGCCCCGA